GGGGGGGGGGGGGGGGGGGGGGGGGGGGGGCGGGGCGGGGGGGGGGGGGGGGGGGGGGCGGCGGGGACGGUGGCGGCGGGCGGGUGGGUAACACGUGGGUACCCUACCUAUAAGGCUGGGUUACCUGCGGGGACCCGGCGCUCAUCCCUGGGACUAUAUUGAACCGCAUGGGUCCAUAGUGAUAGACGUUUUUGCUGUCACUUAUAGAUGUAUCCACGCCGCAUGAGCUAGUUGGUAAGGUAACGGCUUACCAAGGCAACGAUGCGUAGCCGACCUGAGAGGGUGAUCGGCCACACUGGAACUGAGACACGGUCCAGACUCCUACGGGAGGCAGCAGUAGGGAAGAUUCCGCAAUGGGCGAAAGCCUGACGGAGAAACGCCGCGGGAGUGAUGAAGGUCUUCGGAUCGGAAAACUCUGUUAGUAGGGAAGAACAAAUGUGUAAGUAACUAUGCACGUCUUGACGGUACCAAAUCAGAAAGCCACGGCUAACUACGUG
rnacentral:rRNA from 1 species